rnacentral:rRNA from 1 species
CGGGGGGGGGGGCAAGCGUUGUUCGGAAUUACUGGGCGUAAAGGGCGUGUAGGCGGUCCGGCAAGUCCUCCGUGAAAUCCCACAGCUCAACUGUGGAAUUGCGAGGGAAACUGCCGGACUUGAGUCCCGGGAGAGGAGAGUGGAAUUCCCAGUGUAGCGGUGAAAUGCGUAGAUAUUGGGAGGAACACCGGUGGCGAAGGCGGCUCUCUGGACCGGCACUGACGCUGAGGCGCGAAAGCUAGGGGAGCAAACGGGAUUAGAUACCCCGGUAGUCCUAGCCCUAAACGAUGAGCACUUGGUGUGGCGGGUAUCGACCCCUGCCGUGCCGAAGCUAACGCAUUAAGUGCUCCGCCUGGGGAGUACGGUCGCAAAGGCUGA